rfam:Loxodonta africana unplaced genomic scaffold scaffold_12, whole genome shotgun sequence.
AUCAUGGCCUCUUUAGAGGCCACCAAUUUAUGAUUUGGUGAUUGCU